rnacentral:rRNA from 1 species
GGGGACAACCAGCCGAAAGGUUGGCUAAUACCGCAUGAGUUCUACGGAAGAAAGAGGGGGACCCGCAAGGGCCUCUCGCGAGCGGAGCGGCCGAUGACUGAUUAGCCGGUUGGUGAGGUAACGGCUCACCAAAGCAACGAUCAGUAGCUGGUCUGAGAGGACGACCAGCCACACUGGGACUGAGACACGGCCCAGACUCCUACGGGAGGCAGCAGUGGGGAAUUUUGGGCAAUGGGCGCAAGCCUGAUCCAGCUAUUCCGCGUGUGGGAUGAAGGCCCUCGGGUUGUAAACCACUUUUGUAGAGAACGAAAAGACACCUUCGAAUAAAGGGUGUUGCUGACGGUACUCUAAGAAUAAGCACCGGCUAACUACGUGCCAGCAGCCGCGGUAAUACGUAGGGUGCGAGCGUUAAUCGGAAUUACUGGGCGUAAAGGGUGCGCAGGCGGUUGAGUAAGACAGAUGUGAAAUCCCCGAGCUUAACUCGGGAAUGGCAUAUGUGACUGCUCGGCUAGAGUGUGUCAGAGGGAGGUGGAAUUCCACGUGUAGCAGUGAAAUGCGUAGAUAUGUGGAAGAACACCGAUGGCGAAGGCAGCCUCCUGGGACAUAACUGACGCUCAGGCACGAAAGCGUGGGGAGCAAACAGGAUUAGAUACCCU